GAUGAAGAACGCAGCGAAAUGCGAUAAGUAAUGUGAAUUGCAGAAUUCAGUGAAUCAUCGAAUCUUUGAACGCACAUUGCGCCCCUUGGUAUUCCGAGGGGCAUGCCUGUUCGAGCGUCAUUUUGACCACUCCCGCUUGCGGGGUCUUGGGCCUUCGCCUCUGGGCGGGCCUUAAAAUCAGUGGCGGUGCCGUCCGGCUCUAAGCAUAGUAAAUCUCCUCGCUAUAGGGUUCCGGAGGGAUGCUGGCCAACAACCCCCAACUUUUAAGGUUGACCUCGGAUCAGGUAGGGAUACCCGCUGAACUUAAGCAUAUCAAUAAGCGGAGGA
rnacentral:misc_RNA from 1 species